rnacentral:rRNA from 1 species
ACUUUGAAAAGAGAGUUAAAUAGUACGUGAAAUUGUUGAAAGGGAAGCACUUAUGACCAGACUUGGCCCCGGUGAAUCAUCCAGCGGUUCCCGCUGGUGCACUUUGCCGGGGUUCAGGCCAGCAUCAGUUCGCUCCGGGGGAUAAAGGCUUUGGGAAUGUGGCUCCCUCGGGAGUGUUAUAGCCCAUUGCGCAAUACCCUGUGGCGGGCUGAGGUUCGCGCUUUAUGCAAGGAUGCUGGCAUAAUGGUCAUCAGUGACCCGUCUUGAAACACGGACCAAGGAGUCGUCUUCGUAUGCGAGUGUUCGGGUGUUAAACCCCUACGCGUAAUGAAAGUGAACGCAGGUGAGAGCCCUCCAGGGCGCAUCAUCGACCGAUCCUGAUGUUCUCGGAUGGAUUUGAGUAAGAGCAUACGGGGCCGGACCCGAAAGAAGGUGAACUAUGCCUGUAUAGGGUGAAGCCAGAGGAAACUCUGGUGGAGGCUCGCAGCGGUUCUGACGUGCAAAUCGAUCGUCAAAUAUGGGCAUGGGGGCGAAAGACUAAUCGAACCUUCUAGUAGCUGGUUUCCGCCGAAGUUUCCCUCAGGAU